rnacentral:lncRNA from 1 species
CCCAUCCCUAGCCCCACCUUCCCCAAUCCUAAAUCCUAGACUAAAAGCCCUUAAAUUAGCGUUCGGUCAGUUUGUCCGUCGUCAUAAUCUCCCUCACAGCAUCGUUAGGUUUGUUUUCACUUUCUGAUUCUGAUUUCACUUUGCAAGCCUUACUUUUUCUUUCGAUGUUCUGCGCUGGAUUGGAUGUGUUGUUUUUUUAUUUUUUAUUAUCUUUAGUUUCAAUGUAUUUCUGUUUUCCAGAUUGUUAUCAAACAGUGGCGAGGUUAGAGUGCUUUUCCCCAACCUUCGUUUUUUUUUUUCUGGUUAAAUGAUCAAAAGCACAAUCCUAUACGUGUUUUCUGUUCAAAAUGCAAGUUUUCCACGCAGAAGCACCAAUUGGGGGCGAGAUUGGAAUGGAGGUGCACGGAGAGAACGCGAUGGCUGAGGAGAAUAGCGAAAUUACGAGGUGAAAUGAAGGCGACAAAUAGCAAGUCGACAUGGUUAAGUUCCUGAAACUCUAUCAUCAGCUCCUUCAACUUCUUCCUCAGCCCAUUGGUGACAGCGACCCGAGUCCUGUAGAUGUCGGCAUGUCAUCCUUGAGACCGGAGAGCGAUUUGCGAUUCCUGGCUUUGGCUUUUGCGAUUUUGAGUGUAGGCUACGUUUCUCUGUGCGUUGCGAUGAAGAUGACCGAGCCGUGCGUCUCUGGUUUGGGGGUUUCUGGAAUUGGGUUUUGCCUUUGUUUUUUUUUUAUGUAGGUCGGGUGACAUGCGAAGGUGUUGAGGUGUAGGCUCGCGAUGACGGCUUG